CUCCUCUCAGGGUCGCAUCUGGAGAGUUUCCAUUACCCUACCAGUCUCAGCUAUGGGAGGGAGAGUCAAGCAGAGGCCUACCCAUUCCAUUCCUAGUUUAGGCAGCGGCUGGCAAGUGGAAGACAAUCCGCUACAAGU
rfam:Ornithorhynchus anatinus chromosome 1, whole genome shotgun sequence.